rnacentral:rRNA from 1 species
CCUACGGGUGGCAGCAGUGAGGAAUAUUGGUCAAUGGGCGCGAGGCUGAACCAGCCAAGCCGCGUGAAGGAUGAAUGCCCUAAGGGUUGUAAACUUCUUUUAUAAAGGAACAAAGUGAGGCACGUGUGCCUUUCUGUAUGUACUUUAUGAAAAAGCAUCGGCUAACUCCGUGCCAGCAGCCGCGGUAAUACGGAGGAUCCGAGCGUUAUCCGGAUUUCUUGGGUUUAAAGGGAGCGUAGAUGGGUUGUUAAGUCAGUUGUGAAAGUUGGCGGCUCAACCGUAGAAGUGCAAUUGAUACUGGUAGUCUUGAGUGCAGUGGAGGCAGGCGGAAUGCGUGGUGUAGCGGUGAAAUGCAUAGAUAUCACGAAGAACUCCGAUUGCGAAGGCAGCUUGCUAAACUGCCACUGACAUUGAGGCACGAAAGUGUGGGGAUCAAACAGGAUUAGAUACCCUUGUAGUC